GACGAACGCUAGCGGCGUGCUUAACACAUGCAAGUCGGACGGAAAUGGCCUGCUUGUGUGGGGUGCUCGAGGGGCGAACGGGGGAGUAACACGUGAGUAACCUGCCCUUGGCGUUGGGAUAACUUCAGGAAAGUGGGGCUAAUACCGGAUAGUAGCUCCGGCUGCAUGGAGGGGGAUGAAACGUUUCGGCGGUUGGGGAUUGGCUCGCGGUUUAUCAGAUUGUUGGUGGGGUAGUGGCUUACCAAGGCUUUGACGGGGAGCCGGCCUGAGAGGGUGACCGGCCACAUUGGGACUGAGCUACGGCACACACUCCUACGGGAGGCAGCAGUGGGGAAUAGUGCAUAAUGCACGGAAGCCUCAUGCAGCACCGCCGCGCGCUGGAUGACGGCCUUCGGUUUGUAAACCGCAUUCGCCUGUGACGGAGCGUGAGUGACGGUAAUGGGCAAAGAAGCACCGGCUAACUACGUG
rnacentral:rRNA from 1 species